CUUCUGGUCAAUUCAGUCAUAAGAUGUAUUCCUGGCUGGAAAAUUCUGCUAUUUGGAAUCUACAGUUAGACAAGACUGCAUGUUAGACUCUGAAGUUAGGCAGGGUCACCACCCUGGACAGCUGUAACACUCACCGCGAAAGUCUGCAGCUUCACUCCUGAGCCAGCGAGACCACGAGCCCACCAGGAGGAACGAACAACUCCAGACCCGCUGCCUUAAGAGCUGUUAACAGUCACCGCGAAGGUCUGCAGCUUCACUCCUGAGCCAGCGAGACCACGAGCCCACCUGGAGGAACGAACAACUCCAGACCCGCUGCCUUAAGAGCUGUAGCAGUCACCACGAAAGUCUGCAGCUUCACUCCUGAGCCAGCGAGACCGCGAACCCACCAGAAGGAAGAAAUUCCGAACAUAUCCGAACAUCAGAAGGAACAAACUCCAGACGCGCCACCUUAAGAGCUGUAACACUCACCGCGAGGGUCCGCGGCUUCAUUCUUGAUGUCAGCAAGACCAAGAACCCACCAAUUCUGGACACAAAACCUCAAGUAGUCCCUCCACCGAAAGCACAUUAUAAGGAUCAUUUUGCCUCAAAGCCCUCCUACAGGCAAGAGGAGCUUACUGUGACUUCCAAGAAGAAAAUGAUGUUGUGGCAUGAAGCACUUCUCUGAUCAUAUCACUGCUGUACUAAAGGUAUGGAAUGUAUUCGGUGUUGAGGAGUUUGGACAGUACAGCAGCAGCUGCUCUAGAGCAUAAGCAGAUGGUGAAUGUUCAACUUGAUUACAUUGACCAAACGGAAUUGGAUAACAAACUCGAAAUAGUUUGAGAAAAAAGGUAAUAUAGAUUUGAGGACAUAGACCAACAAGUUACCAGAGAUCACCAAGGCAGCUAUAACUAAACAAAAGAGGGAAAAGAUCUAUAAGAACAGCAGUGAU
rnacentral:lncRNA from 1 species